rnacentral:piRNA from 1 species
UNCAAGAUGCCCGUGUUGUUGGUAAGUGG